UACGUAGGGGGCAAGCGUUGUUCGGAAUCACUGGGCGUAAAGGGCGUGUAGGCGGUCAAGUAAGUGGAAUGUGAAAGCCCCCGGCUUACCCGGGGAUCUGCAUCCCAAACUGCUUGGCUUGAGUACGGGAGAGGAUAGGGGAAUUCCUGGUGUAGCGGUGAAAUGCGUAGAUAUCAGGAGGAACACCGGUGGCGAAGGCGCCUAUCUGGCCCGAUACUGACGCUGAGGCGCGAAAGCGUGGGGAGCGAACAGG
rnacentral:rRNA from 1 species